ACAUGUCACCACCUACCGAGCACGGGGCAGGAUGCGGGUUUAAAGGCCUCGCACUGCAAACAGCGGCCCUCCAGGAACUCUCCGUAGGACGAGCAGGGGUAACCCGUCAGGCUGCAGGUCCGGUUCAGAGAGCACAGGUUUGCUCCCACAAAUCCAGCCAGGUGAGCUCCCAGACUGACGCCGAUGAGGUGGACUGAGCUCAGAGAGGCUCCUUCCUCCUGCAGACACACAACAUUAACAAAGUCACAUUCAAGGUUUAAAAGUCCAAAGUCUCAAGUUAAAGCUUCACUGCUGUCUUACUGGAAAUGCUGCUUGGAUCAAUUGUUCGUCUGGUAAGUGACGUUGGGUCCUCUUUAGCUCCUCGAUGUGAGGAUUACAGCUAACACGGAGUCUCUUUAGCCUAUUUAAAGUGUCUUUAGCCUGCAUACUGUAAAAUCCAGGCUGGUGGUUGUUUUCACACCAAUUAAUCCCUCCUGGCUGCUGUGUGUCUGCCAGUGACCUUAAACAUUAUUAAAAGACAGACAGAGUGUCCAACAACAAGUCCUGAAUCGGGAAAACGUGAUCACUGUCCUCAUGGCUACCGGAGAAACAAAAAGCGUUGCCAGCAAAGUCUGCCGAGGAUGUUAAAAUGUUUGACUGUUCUGCUUUGUUUCUUCUUCUUCAGUACUGUAUGUAAUUCUGGCAAGCUGGUGCAGAGGAAAUACUGGAGCUAAUGUUAGUUUUACCCUGUGCAGACAUAUUAUCAGUCCUGGCAGACAUCUGUAAGUUUAUUUUAAUACUUUUAGAGGCCAUGGAUAGGUUUUCACUAGAAAGGAUGAGAGUCAAGUGUGAAGAAAACAUCAUUUUGUGCAGCAGAAAUAUGUUUCAUCUGCUUCUUCAUUCUGUUAAUAAUUUAACCACCAUUCAAAUAUGUCAUUUGUCCUUACAGUUGAUU